AUGAGAAGAGCAGUUCAGGAUUUUUGCUUAGCACAUCAUUCCUGUUCACAGGAAGGGGAAGGAUGGAGUCCUGUAAGACCAGAAGAUCAAGGAGAACAUAUGACCACCCUUUGUUUGCAAAUACUUUGGCUCACCUCAAUGAGGCUGGAAGAAGAGAUGUACAGAUCUAUGCAUAUGAAUCUCAUUAGACUGGGAAAGGUUAUUCAGGAUUCCUUUCCUCUCUGGAUUUUCAUAUGUCAGAAAACUGUAACUUGUAUAUUCAAAAAUUAAUCCUUGUCCUGAAACAUCAUCUUUGGGUUUCUUGGCUUAAUGAAAGAAUGAAAAUAAUGCAUUUUUUUUUUUUUUUACAUCUCCACUCAAAAUAUCUUCUUUAGCACAGACUUUUCUUGUUGCAAAGACCACCUUACAGGAGUGAUCUCAAUCAUAGACAGUCAAGGCUCAUCGCAGGGAUCAAGAAAUUGGCAAGAGAAUCUUAGAAAUGUUUCCCACUUAAUGCGAUGAAGUGAAACAAAGCACAGAAAGGUAGGAAAAAUUCAACUAGUUUCCUCCAGAAAGGCAAUGGUGCCAUAGAAAAGAAGGUCCAGGAUUUUCUUCUUUGGCAUCCUGAGUUAUUCCUAAUCCCUUCUGCAGCUGGAAAAUAAGCUUCUGGGAGCUCUUUGGAUUUCUAGACUCUUUCUAACCCCGUCACACACUGGUUUCCAAUCUACUGUCGCAUAUGCUUCUCACUUCUGGAGUGAAGCAACAGAGAGUAGUUAGUAGAGGUGUGCAGAGCCUAGUAUGCCACCUGGCCCAACAACACCCUGAUAAUCACGUCACUAACCUUUCCUUUGGAUGUGGAGUGGGGAUGAGCCAGCUCUGCUUCACUGUUUGCUGGGACUUCCUAGUUUGAAAAACAGACAUUUCUGCCUAAUGCGCAAUCUGUCACUUGCACUCUAAUAGAAAUCACCUGCACCUAGAAUAAUCAUUAAACAAACUGACAGACAGUACAUAAUAGCUGGACUUCUUAGCUGUAAUAGUACCUGGCUGAAUCAAGUAGAUGUAAUAAAAACAACCAAAACACACCACACACAUUAUUUAGAAACAUUAUUCACAGGGGAAUCAUGGCCUCUGCAGAUGCCUGGAGAUUCAAGAGGUCCUUUCUGGCCAGGGGCAAGUGUCCUGGACCCUCAAGGGAUGGCUUUCAGUCUCAAUUUUACUUACCAAAUCUGGGGAAAAAAGCAACCAAAAACAAACCAAAAAACCUCACUACUCUCCUGGGAGAUAAAAAUACCCUGUCUCCUUCAUAGAUUGUAUGAGGGUCAAGAUUUCUAUGGGGAAAGCAGUUUGUAAAUUAAAGUAUUAAGCCCUCAGUGGGAUAGCUCUUUGAACACUCAAUAAUAAUAGCUGUCAUUUACUGAGCAUAGGGCUCCCUGUUAAACACUUUGUGUAGAUUGUCUCACUAAAUCUCCACAACUAUAGAGAUUAAAAAUUUGAGGUACAGAGAAAUUCAGCAAUUUGUUCUUUUUCUCUGAGUUAAGAAGUGAUGAUUUUGAUUCAAAGCCCAGUCUGCAGUCUAGUAGACUCCAGAAUCAGUAUUCUCACUAAUGAGGUUCAGGACAUACUGCCUCAAAAUACUAAAGAUCUUAAGGAGUCUUUUAGAAGACAAAAGCAAGAAGUUCACUCUGAUUUCCCCUGCCCCCUGCUCUUCCUCCCUGAAACAGGUCAUAAAAUUCCCAUGUAAGGGUAUCUUCCCAUACCUGGAGGAAAGAAAACAUUCUUAUCACCAGACAGGGAAUUUAUGAUUUAUUUUAGUACUUAUUGUCCCUAGCCCAAAUUCUUAAAUCUUGUCAAUUCUCUACAAAUGUAUUUUUUCGUUGUCCAAAAGGUAUAAAAGAUUUCUGCUCUAGUCACUUCUUUGGAUCUUUAUUCUCUUGUGAAGGCUUCCUUGUACAUGUAAAAAUUCAAUUUUUAUUAUAUAUGCUUUUCUCUUGUAUGUCUGUUUUUGCCAGUUUAAUUAUCAGACCCAGCCAGAGACCCCACAAGUGUGGAAGAAAAUUUUUUCUUCCUCUACCUCACCGUUAAGCAACACUGCUCUACAGACUGGCUUGUUGCAACCUGUCACCUAUAUCUUGGGCAGAGAAAUCUGCAGUAUCUGAACCUCUUCCCUGCAAAGAGGUUAAACCUCCUUCCUCUUCUAAGGCCACAAGGUUCAUUACAAAGAGGUACUGGACGCUAAUGAAGGAUCUUUUUGGAGGGGUGCUUAACAAACAGAUUUAUUAUUAUUAUUAAUUAUCAUUAUUAUUAUUUAAAUUCAGUUUGCCAACAUUAUAGUAUAACAUCCAGUGCUCAUCCCAUCAAGUGCCCUCCAUAGUGCCUGUUACCCAGUCACCCCAUCCUCCGCCUUCCUCCCCUUCUUCAACCCUUUGUUUGUUUCCCAGAAUUAGGAGUCUCUCAUGGUUUGACUUCCUUUCUAAUUUUCCCCCAUUCAGUGUCUCUCCUUUCCCUUAUAGUCCCUUUCACUAUUUCUUAUAUUCCGCAUAUCAUUAAACCUCAAACUCAACACCCAAGAAACAAACAAUCUAGUCAUGAAAUGGGCAGAAGACAUGAACAGACAUUUCUCCAAAGAAGACCUACACUUGGCUACAAGGACAUGAGAAAAUGCUCUACGUCACUUGCCAUCAGGGAAAUACCACAAUGCUAACGAAAUAAAAACCACAAUGCUAACGAAAGAUCUUUAAUGGUCUUAUAUAAUUAUCCCCAUUGCCUCCACCACUCUAAUUUAGAAGUCACACUGUGAUGUAAGGGAAAAUCUUCAUACUGAGAAGGAAAGAACAGAGCUGGAAAUGGAGAGAAAGGAAGGCAGAGCCAUGGGAUGAGGCCAGUCACCAUACCUAAUUAGCAGCAUUUUGCAUCCUUCAAAGAGGAGAGCUCUCCUUACUGUCACAUUAGGAGGUUGUUUUGUUGGAAGACCCCAAUGUCCCCUAGGUGACAGGAAGAAGUGGAGUGUGAGUAGUAGGCCCAUGUCAUCUGGAAGGUCGCAACUCCAGAGAAAGUGGGCAGAAGAGGGUAAUAGCCUCAUAGCUCCAAGGUAUAUCAGGAAGAUCUAACCUAUAAUAUAUCAUUUACCAUCCAGUGUUUGGUGUUUGUAGGUGAAAUUAGAUUAACCACUCCAUACAUGCAUAUUUCUUUAAGACUCAAGUUCCUUUGUUAGAGUAGGGUCAGCAGUAAGGAUUAAUUUCUUGUAUACUAAUUCUAUUUUGAUAAAUCAAAAAAUAAUCAGCCAGCUGAAAUUUGUAGAUCUUUUGCUUCCUCCAUAGCAUCUGGCAAAUCUGUUCAUUUUUUAAAAGAUGAAUUAAGUGGAGCAGGUAGUUGUUCAAAGAAGGCACACAUACAACAAACAGUGAGAAAAUAUGAAGAGAUUGGAGGGAGACCAGAACAGAAAAUGACAAUCAAAGUCCACAUCAGAGAAUAUGGCAGUGUGAUAAUGAAUAAUGCUGGUAGAAACAGAGAAGAGUAGAUGGAUGUGUUUUUAGAAGAUAAAAAUGUGAGGACAUAAUUAUAAAUACACAUAGGAAUAGUGGUAAAGUGCGCUAGUGUUUAUCAUGUAAAUCUAAUUGAAGUUUGUUUACUAGACUGGAAGAGUUAACAGUCUGAGUUUUAUGAUAAUCAUUCAAAAAAGCCUUUAAAUAUUACCUUAGCCAAGCAAAUUU
rnacentral:lncRNA from 1 species